GAUGAACGCUAGCGACAGGCCUAACACAUGCAAGUCGAGGGGCAGCACAUGAGUAGCAAUACGAUGGUGGCGACCGGCGCACGGGUGAGUAUCGCGUAUGCAACCUACCUUCCACAGGGGGAUAGCCUUCCGAAAGGGAGAUUAAUACCGCAUAAAACAGGGGCCCCGCAUGGGGAAAUUUGUCAAAGAUUUAUCGGUGGGGUAUGGGCAUGCGUUCCAUUAGCUAGUUGGCGGGGUAAUGGCCCACCCAGGCAUCGAUGGAUAGGGGAACUGAGAGGUUUAUCCCCCACACUGGAACUGAGACACGGUCCAGACUCCUACGGGAGGCAGCAGUGAGGAAUAUUGGUCAAUGGGCGGGAGCCUGAACCAGCCAAGUCGCGUGAAGGAAGACGGUUCUAUGGAUUGUAAACUUCUUUUGCACUGGGGUAAAACGGGGGACGUGUCCCCCCUUGCAAGUACAGUGCGAAUAAGCAUCGGCUAACUCCGUGCCAGCCGCCGCUGUAA
rnacentral:rRNA from 1 species